rnacentral:rRNA from 1 species
CUGGAAGUAAAAGUCGUAACAAGGUUUCCGUAGGUGAACCUGCGGAAGGAUCAUUACUGAAGUGAUUUUGGGGAUGUUGCUGGCCUCUUCAAAAGGGGGGGCAUGUGCACUCCUUGAAACAAUUCACAAUUUCCAUCACACCCCUUGUGCACAUCUUGUAGGAACCCAGACCCCACCUCUGGGUCCUAUGUAUUCCUUCAUCUCACACUUUGAAUGGUGCCAUUUGGAACGCAUCUAAAGGAUUAUUUGUAAAACAGUAAUCAUAGAAACAACUUUCAACAAUGGAUCUCUUGGCUCUCGCAUCGAUGAAGAACGCAGCGAAAUGCGAUACGUAAUGUGAAUUGCAGAAUUCCGUGAAUCAUCGAAUCUUUGAACGCACCUUGCGCCUCUUGGUAUUCCGAGGGGCAUGCCUGUUUGAGUGUCAUUGAAACCCUCAAGAGAAAAGCCCUUUGUGGCCUUCUUUUUGGAACUGGAGUGUGCUGGCCUCCUUCCUCUGUGGGGAAGAGCCCAGCUCCUCUGAAAUGCAUUAGCGAUGUGACAUCCUCGUGCCAUCACGCUUCUCCAGCAUUGAUAGUCUCUUUCAUGCUUGAGUGUGUGUGCUUGGUGGAAAGUUUUGCUCGCUCACAGACCCCCCUAUGCUUUGACCAAAUUAACCUCAAAUCAGGUAGGAUUACCCGCUGAACUUAAGCA